GUCGAGCGGGGGAGAUUGCUUCGGUAAUUGACCUAGCGGCGGACGGGUGAGUAAUACUUAGGAAUCUGCCUAUUAAUGGGGGACAACAUCUCGAAAGGGAUGCUAAUACCGCAUACGCCCUACGGGGGAAAGCAGGGGAUCACUUGUGACCUUGCGUUAAUAGAUGAGCCUAAGUCGGAUUAGCUAGUUGGUGGGGUAAAGGCCUACCAAGGCGACGAUCUGUAGCGGGUCUGAGAGGAUGAUCCGCCACACUGGGACUGAGACACGGCCCAGACUCCUACGGGAGGCAGCAGUGGGGAAUAUUGGACAAUGGGGGGAACCCUGAUCCAGCCAUGCCGCGUGUGUGAAGAAGGCCUUAUGGUUGUAAAGCACUUUAAGCGAGGAGGAGGCUCUUUUGGUUAAUACCCAAGAUGAGUGGACGUUACUCGCAGAAUAAGCACCGGCUAACUCUGUGCCAGCAGCCGCGGUAAUACAGAGGGUGCGAGCGUUAAUCGGAUUUACUGGGCGUAAAGCGUGCGUAGGCGGCUUUUUAAGUCGGAUGUGAAAUCCCCGAGCUUAACUUGGGAAUUGCAUUCGAUACUGGGAAGCUAGAGUAUGGGAGAGGAUGGUAGAAUUCCAGGUGUAGCGGUGAAAUGCGUAGAGAUCUGGAGGAAUACCGAUGGCGAAGGCAGCCAUCUGGCCUAAUACUGACGCUGAGGUACGAAAGCAUGGGGAGCAAACAGGAUUAGAUACCCUGGUAGUCCAUGCCGUAAACGAUGUCUACUAGCCGUUGGGGUCUUUGAGACUUUAGUGGCGCAGCUAACGCGAUAAGUAGACCGCCUGGGGAGUACGGUCGCAAGACUAAAACUCAAAUGAAUUGAC
rnacentral:rRNA from 1 species